GAUGAACGCUGGCGGCGUGCCUAAUACAUGCAAGUCGAGCGAACGGACGAGAAGCUUGCUUCUCUGAUGUUAGCGGCGGACGGGUGAGUAACACGUGGAUAACCUACCUAUAAGACUGGGAUAACUUCGGGAAACCGGAGCUAAUACCGGAUAAUAUUUUGAACCGCAUGGUUCAAAAGUGAAAGACGGUCUUGCUGUCACUUAUAGAUGGAUCCGCGCUGCAUUAGCUAGUUGGUAAGGUAACGGCUUACCAAGGCAACGAUGCAUAGCCGACCUGAGAGGGUGGUCGGCCACACUGGAACUGAGAAACGGUCCAGACUCCUAAGGGAGGCAGCAGUAGGGAAUCUUGCGCAAAGGGCGAAAGCCUGACGGAGCAACGCCGCGUGAGUGAUGAAGGUCUUCGGAUCGUAAAACUCUGUUAUUAGGGAAGAACAUAUGUUUAAGUAACUGUGCACAUCUUGACGGUACCUAAUCAGAAAGCCACGGCUAACUACGUG
rnacentral:rRNA from 1 species